UGCUGGCCCCAUGUUGACUCUACAAGGUGUUGAAGGCGUUCCACAGGGAUGCUGGCCCCAUGUUGACUCUACAAGGUGUCUAAAGCGUUCCACAGGGAUGCUGGCCCCAUGUUGACUCUACAAGGUGUCUAAAGCGUUCCACAGGGAUGCUGGCCCCAUGUUGACUCUACAAGGUGUCUAAAGCGUUCCACAGGGAUGCUGGCCCCAUGUUGACUCUACAAGGUGUCUAAAGCGUUCCACAGGGAUGCUGGCCCCAUGUUGACUCUACAAGGUGUCUAAAGUGUUCCACAGGGAUGCUGGCCCCAUGUUGACUCUACAAGGUGUCUAAAGCGUUCCACAGGGAUGCUGGCCCCAUGUUGACUCUACAAGGUGUCUAAAGCGUUCCACAGGGAUGCUGGCCCCAUGUUGACUCUACAAGGUGUCUAAAGCGUUCCACAGGGAUGCUGGCCCCAUGUUGACUCUACAAGGUGUCUAAAGCGUUCCACAGGGAUGCUGGCCCCAUGUUGACUCUACAAGGUGUCUAAAGCGUUCCACAGGGAUGCUGGCCCCAUGUUGACUCUACAAGGUGUGGAAAGCGUUCCACAGGGAUGCUGGCCCCAUGUUGACUCUACAAGGUGUCUAAAGCGUUCCACAGGGAUGCUGGCC